UCAGACAUGGUGUAAUGGGAACACAGCCUCUUAUUCUGGAGAUUUUGGGUGGAAUUAAGAGGCAGUCCAGGAUUCGAAUCCUUGUGUCUAAA